CCUACGGGAGGCAGCAGUGAGGAAUAUUGGUCAAUGGCCGUAAGGCUGAACCAGCCAAGUCGCGUGAAGGAAGAAGGAUCUAUGGUUUGUAAACUUCUUUUAUAGGGGAAUAAAGGUAUCCACGUGUGGAUAUUUGCAUGUACCCUAUGAAUAAGCAUCGGCUAACUCCGUGCCAGCAGCCGCGGUAAUACGGAGGAUGCGAGCGUUAUCCGGAUUUAUUGGGUUUAAAGGGUGCGUAGGCGGCCUUUUAAGUCAGCGGUGAAAGUCUGUGGCUCAACCAUAGAAUUGGCGUUGAAACUGGGGGGCUUGAGUAUGUUUGAGGCAGGCGGAAGGCGUGGUGUAGCGGUGAAAUGCUUAGAUAGAACGGAGAAACACGAUUGCGAAGGCAGCCUGCCAAGCCAUGACUGACGCUGAUGGACGAAAGCGUGGGGAUCAAACAGGAAUAGAUACCCUUGUAGUC
rnacentral:rRNA from 1 species